CCCAGUUUGGUUUUGCAAUGAGUGAUACUCAAGAAAGUGUACAUAUUGGAGUAGAUAUUCACCAAUUGGAACCGUUGUCUGGGACACAGACAUGGUUAUAAAGACUACUAUAUUUGGAGAAAAGUGGGCGGAGAUAUUUUGUAAAACUGUUGGUUUUUUUUGUGGGUCUGUUUCAGUAUUUGGCUAUGGCGUGGAAGGGGAGUUGGUCUCAUAAAUAUUCUGCAUGUAUCAACUUCCCCAUGUUUAUUUGGUCAACCAAGAAGAUUGCUUUGAAAAUCCAAUUGAUGAAGAUGCAUCGGGCCUUGCUGUUGAUGUUUUUGUGUAUAGACGUCUACUUGUUUUUGUGUAUAGACGUGUUGAUGUUUUUGUGUAUAGACGUACAUAGCUUGGUUGCAGUUUUUGGUCAACAUGAAUGUAUGUAGUAAAGGUUUCUAGGAUUGGAUGUUAGGUUUGGAG